GACGAACGCUGGCGGCGUGCUUAACACAUGCAAGUCGAGCGGUAAGGCCCUUUCGGGGGUACACGAGCGGCGAACGGGUGAGUAACACGUGGGUGACCUGCCCUCAGCUCUGGGAUAAGCCUGGGAAACCGGGUCUAAUACCGGAUAUGACUCCAUGACGCAUGUUGUGGGGUGGAAAGCCUUGUGCGGCUGAGGAUGGGCCCGCGGCCUAUCAGCUUGUUGGUGGGGNGAUGGCCUACCAAGGCGACGACGGGUAGCCGGCCUGAGAGGGCGACCGGCCACACUGGGACUGAGACACGGCCCAGACUCCUACGGGAGG
rnacentral:rRNA from 1 species